UUCUGGGGGCCUCUGGAUGUCUGGAGUUUUGAUCUCCUCCACACCUGCUUCAUACCCUGGAGGACGGGGCUGUGGCUCCCCACACUCCCUAGCAGAUCGUUACAUGGAGAAACCUUUGGAAUGCAAGCAUGCUGAUCCACACAGGUGUACACACGGGUAUUCACAGACGCGGACUACAGCUUUCUUGGCCUCAAAGCACAUUGUGCCCUGUCUAUCUUGCGUGCUGCACAAUAUCGUUUAUUACUUAGUAUCUACUGAUAUUUACUGCUAGCUAGUUUAUUGUGAUGGUGCCGUUUUUUUAUUAUGUUGCUCUUUGUUGUUUGCUUUCUCUUCUGUUUUUUUUCUCCAUACAGGUGACCCAGGUGUUUUUUUUUUUUUGUUGUUUGUUUUUUUUUUUUUUCUUUCUUCCCCCCCCUUCUCACCGUCUCUUCUCCCCUUUGGUUUUCUUUCUCUCCCUCUCUUUCUUUCAUUCUUUCUCCCUGUCCUAUCCCCCAGUCAUGUCUGUCCCGUUUGUAGGAACUGAAAAUAAAAUAAAUUCAUAAUUAUAAUAAAGGUCAAUCAAAUGGACCAAUAUGGCAAGGCCAUGAUGAUCCACUUGGUAAAAUAAAUCCGCUUGGCAUCUUUCUUGGCCUUAAGACAACAAUUCUGAUGGCUAAAGAUCCAAACGGGACACAAAAAAUAAAAUAAAAUAAAAAUUAUAUGGCAACAUGGCAUUUAGUUGUUUAGGAAGGGGGAAAUUUUAGGAGUGACGGCGGUGAUUUGAGAUGUGAGAGAUUUGCAAUGUUUAGUAGUCUUGUGUAGUUAGUGUGCAGUGUAGUCAAUAGUUUUGUUAUGUGUGUCAGAACAAUGAGGCGACUGCUCAAUAUUACAGGUGUUACAGGAGUGAUAUAUCUCCUGUUGUCAGGCCUGCAGGUAUCAGGCUUGUGAUGUUUUCGUUUA
ensembl:lncRNA